ACACCAACUCAAAAUAUAAACACCUCACUUAGAAGUCUUAUAAAGAGUUUCUUCCUUCUUACUUUGAGUUUUCUCUUCUAGUCUUAUGGAGAAGUCCCCUAAAGUUAGUAAGUUCCUUUCCUUUAACUCUUUCAAUAAACAAAUAGUUUCGUAGCUUAUUUCCGUCCAAACCCGUAUUUUUACGCAUAGUAAAAUUAUCAACGGAACACAUAGGUGUUUUUCCUAUUUUAGAUAGAUGAUGUGUUAACACUUUGCACAACCAUAACUAAGUCAAAACAUAACUAAAUAAAGUAAACUCUUACUUCAUGAUUAAGUACUUCAAAAAACAUGUUCAACAAUAUAUUAUACGCUUAAAAACACUUCCGUUUGGACCCUCAACUUUUUAAAACCAAACUGAAGGUCAAAACUGAACAAUCUACAAAGAUCCCCAGUCUUGACCAUUUCCGGGUUCCAAAAAGAAAAACUGUCUUGAAGAAAGUUGUAGAUCACAUUCUAAUUUAGUUGAAUGGAUUUUUUUUUUAAAUUUUCAACGUCGUUUACUAUUUUUAAAACGUAAAACAGAAACAACACAAUAUGCUGUCAAAAUUUAUAUUUCCUAAAAAUCUAAACAUUUUCAAUUUACCAAUAGCCCCUUUAACCUAUACUUUCCACAAACAUCAUCGCAACAGAACCUUAACGAACAAUCCUCAUCAUUAGGAAUUACUCGUGAUCUUGUAAACCUCGAGGACGCACAAACUAAUCACUAGGACAUCAAGGUGAGUAUAUAGUCUCCACUUUUCCGUUUUCUCGUGAUCUUGUAAACCUCGAGGACACACAAACUAAUCACUAGGACAUAAAGGUGAGUAUAUAGUCUCCACUUUUCCGUUUUCAAAUGUUUUGGGAUGAUUCAUAUGUGCCUACUAAUUUUAUAAACUUUCCUAAACUUAUUACAUAUGGUUUAUAUAAUUUUAUAUAUAUAAAUAUAUAUACACAAUACACUUUUCAUUUGGUAUGAAACUUGGUGGUGCGUAACCUAUAAUAUGAAUACGUUCAUUAACUUUGGCCAAGCCGACCGGUAGUAUAUUAUUACGCUAUAGGAUUGAACCCUAUCCCCACUUCCUAGGUUUGUGAGGAAGUUUGCUUAGGGAAUGAUAGAAACUAUGCACUUUUGACGAACCCUUUUGGGAUUUCUCAGAUGAGUCAACACAGUCUUGAAUGUAUUUACCCAUGACCACACUCGUACAUCCAAAUGCAACAGUUUGUUUUUACAACACACAAUAGCUUGUUAUACAAAAUUACAAAUGGUUUCUAAACAUAUAAACCAUACAAUUUAUGUUAAAAUGAUUUGUUUUUCAUACAAUUAUUACAAGAAACACUUUUGUCAAGUUUCAUGGCUACAAAGUCUAUUUAUUAUACCAAGUCUUAUAGUUGGUUAACAUAUUGCAAAACCAAACACAAUUGAUACACGUUUGGUUACAAGGUUUAUUUCACUCAUCCACUCUCGUAACCGUACAACGUAUUGCAAUGCAAAUUCAUAGCCAUGAAUUUGACCAUAUAACAUAUGUUACUCACUAACUUUAUUGUUGACCAUUUAUUUUCACAUAUGUUUCAAGUACAAAUAUUUGAUGAAAAUCAAGUAUUUUACAUAUAGGGCUUGGACUCGAGCCUUAGUUUUGCUUAAUUUAAAAACAAUUGUUUGUAUUUGCUUUGUGUUUUGAAAGACAUUGUAAUUCAAUAAAUCAAUAUAAUUAAACAUUAAUACCAUGUGUUAUAAACAAUCUUGUAAUAUGACUCCUCGGGGUUUCUGUCGCGGGUUUUAUGCGCAGUCGGGGAGUUACACGUCAACUGGGUAAUGAAGUGAAAAAUAUUAUAUCCUUUUAAACCACAUCACUUCCAUCAAUUUGUUAUAUCAAUCACCAAUUUGUUAUAUCAAUCACCGUACUUACUCAUUGAGAAAGAUAGAUCCAAAUUCACACCACAAACUUCAACUUCUAUAAAUCUUAGGCUCAAAAUAAACAUAAUGCUUCAAACAUUAAACAAAAAACCAGUCUCGAAUUAACAAGCAUUUCACUUUUAUUCCACAAAUUUCAUUAAUUAUAGAUCCACAAUUAAAACUUCUACACAAAAGCAUCAUAAACUUAAAUGCUUCAUCACAACAUUUCAACAAUCUGUAUUGUUUCGAUUCAACGUUACAAAAUCAAAUAGCAGAUUCAUCUUCAUCCUCAUUUGGUUUGUUUAAGAACACACACAGUUUCUGUGUUUUAGAGAAAUAAAUCAUAAUUUUUUAGAGAGAAAAAACUCCGGUGAUUGUGUUUAGGCAAAAACAUGAAUUUUCUAAACGAAUUAGAUCUCGAGCAUACACUUCUGAAUAACCACUUUUCAUUGCAAAAACUUCAUCGAUGCGUCUACUUGCAGUAAUUCUAUUUACUUGUCCUAAGAUUAGAUUAACAAGGUGAAUCGAAAUUGUAGUUUUCCGAUCUUGUUUGGUGGCUUCGUAUUAAAUGUGUUGUGGCUGGUAAUUGAUUUGCAGUGAUAGUUUAUGGGAGAGUUUAGGAGGUUGUAGGUGUUAUAGUGUGAAGAAGAAGAAGAAAGGAAUACGAUGUGGUAAUUGCUUGUUGUAGUGUGAAAGAACAAAGGAACAAGGUGUGGUCGGUAACAGUUAGAAAUUAGGGUUCUGAUGGUUUUGUGGAUGAAAAUGAAGAGGAACAAGGUUACGUUAUUUGCCACGUCAUAGCCCGGUCAUUGUCCACGUCAUAAAAAAACAAACUACGUUAGAUUUUUUACACUACUAGAAAACUAGGCAAUUGCGAUGAAAAUUUGCGACCAACAUCAUGCAGUCGCAAAAUUAGCGACUGGUUUGCGAUCAUAACCAAAACAGUCGCAAAUAAAAAGACCAACCCGGAUUUGAUCGCAAAACGGUCGCAAAUUUUGUGACCACAUUUUGCGGUCGCAAUAUUUGUGACCAUUAUAUAAAAAACAAAUGUUACGACCGUCUAAAGCAGUCACAAAUACGAGAUAUAUAUGAAAAACAAAAGUUGCGACUGUCUAAAUGGUCGCAAUUCGAGAAUAUCAAUUUGGAGUAGUACUGUUUAUAUUAUAUAGUUUGUCUUGCUAUAUCUAAUUUAAUUUAAUUUAAUUUUAUCCGGAUUAUAUAUAAAGGACCUGCUAUUAUAUUAAAUUGUCACACAGCGGCCCAUCUGGUUUCUCUCUCUCCGACACUUCGCUAUCAUCACCACAUUCUGAAACCCUAGAUCUCUCAAACACAUCUCAAUCGCCACUCAAUGAUCACGGCGUUCAAAUUGAUUAGGUUAGGGGAUCUUAAACGACUUCGAGUAACCUUGAACUGAAACGAAUUUGAUGAACGCUAAUUUUGAUUUUCAAUCGAUUGGAAGAACAAUUACUGGAAAUUUGGUGGAUAGUUGAAGAUUAUGUGCGAUUGGAACGAAUUAUAUAGGAAGAAAUCGCAACCGGAAUCGUUUACAAAGAUUAUGUCCAUCGGCUUCUCUCUAUCUUACAAUUUGCCUUUCAUCUGAAUCCUUUGUAUUUCGUUUAUCUAGGAUUGGUGGUGUGCGAUUCGUCUUACGCAGGUGAGAACCUAACCUCGAUCUGUUAAUGUAUUCAUUCGUCAAGCGAAAACAAAACCGUGAGUUCAUGGAUAGAUAAUCCACCAACCCACUACACAGGACACCCGUCUGGUACAAAACAACAAUAUCCUCACACGGUUUACUUGUAGUACUGUUACAUGUUAAUUGACGAGAACUUGAGCAUCUUUUCAUGAAAUUAUUGAUUUCAUGUUUGAUUAUUUGUAAAAUUUAUAAGUUAUUUUAGCCCAUUCAUCAAGGAUGAGAUGCACGUGGCUUAUGUUUGUCCUUUACUUGGUCAAAUUUUGGAAUAUUUUUUUUCUAUGUUCAGUCUCCAUCUCCUCUAUCCCUAUCAAACACAAUUUUAAUUUAACUAAGCACCAUUAACAUUUAACAACUUGUUGAUUAAUUUUGUACAGAGAUCCGGAUGCUGGAUCUAUACCGGAGAACGACAAGUGAGCGCGUUGAGGAAGAGGUACCUUGAAGCAGUGUUGAAACAGGACGUAGGGUUUUACAAUACCGAUGCGAGAACAGGUGAUACCGUGUUUAGUGUCUCUACGGACACACUUCUCGUUCAAGACGCCAUUAGCGAGAAGGUGGGAAACUUUAUACCUUAUCUGUCAAUGUUUUUGGCUGGAUUGGUGGUCGGUUUUGUGUCCGCACGGAAGCUAGCUCUUCUUAGUGUUGCAGUGAUUCCAGGCAUUGCAUUUGCGGGUGGUUUAUAUACAGGUCUAACUUCUAAGAGCCGUGAAUCAUAUGCUAAUGCUGGCAUCAUUGCUGAACAGGUGAUCAUAUCUUUGAAGUUUCCUUAAGUUUUUCCACUUUAAGUUUGUGUAUCUUGAUAAAAAUUAGUUAGUUGCUUUAUGGUCAUCAAAUGGAAGCCUUUGUAAGUUGUGAAGUUCAAAUGCCAUUCUGGUGCCAUGAAUGGCUGCAAAUGAUUCAUUAUUUAUGCGUAAGUUUUAUCUUUUGUACUACCUCGACUCACAUUAUAGAUUUAAUGGUUUGCUGACCUUCUCUGUCUAGAAGAUAAUUUCGUACAUGUUUUAAUUAGUCGUAAAAUUUAAAACUGUUGAAGCUUUGGUUUUUUUUUGUUUUGUUUAUUAUAAAGGGCCUUAACGUUGUUUAUUUUGCUAUUUUUUGUUGAUUCAGAUGGAGAUAUAUUGUAUGGGAAUGCACAUGAUCUCCACAACGGAUAAUGCUCUCAGUUCAAGUGGUAAUUUGUUCCUUCUUGAGCAUAUAGUGAACUGAAUGAAUGAAUUUGUGAUCCAAAUGGGGUUAUUGAUAUAUAUUGGAUUUCUGUACCAAAUCGUGUAGGGCAUUAUCCUACAAUUAUUUACCUGUAAUGUUGAUCGCAAAAGUUUAUUCUACCUGGAUGUUAAUUUUAAAAGGCUAAGGUACCAAGGUCUUGUUAUAUAAACCCAAAAUCACGCUCAUUGCCUUUCCUAUCCAUUGGGCUAGUGCUAUUGGUAAAACCAUAUCAAAUUUUUACCUAUAUAUUGUCAUUGGUCUAAUGUAAACCUUUGCAUCCAUCUUACAUGGUAUGUUUAUUCUUUUAAGUAUAUGGGUUAAGCAAAUGAUUUUAACGAUCAACAACAUGGUAAACAAGACCAAGAGAUUGAAAGGUUGAAUGUGAUUGUCCAAGAUAUAGUGAAAGAAAAAGAAGAAAAAGAAAGGUUGAAUGAUAUUAUUGCGGGAUUGGUGGUGGAAAAAGAGAAAGAUAAGGCGAGAAAGAGGCUAUGAAUGAAAGAAUGACAAACAUUAAAGCAAUGCUAAAAGCUAGGUUUCAAAACGUAUAAUCAUCGACUUAGGUUUCAAAACAUAUAAACACUUUGUUUUGAGUAUGUAUU